rnacentral:rRNA from 1 species
GACGAACGCUGGCGGCGUGCUUAACACAUGCAAGUUGAGCGGUAAGGCCCUUUCGGGGGUACACGAGCGGCGAACGGGUGAGUAACACGUGGGUGACCUGCCCUCAGCUCUGGGAUAAGCCUGGGAAACCGGGUCUAAUACCGGAUAUGACUCCAUGACGCAUGUUGUGGGGUGGAAAGCCUUGUGCGGCUGAGGAUGGGCCCGCGGCCUAUCAGCUUGUUGGUGGGGUGAUGGCCUACCAAGGCGACGACGGGUAGCCGGCCUGAGAGGGCGACCGGCCACACUGGGACUGAGACACGGCCCAGACUCCUACGGGAGGCAGCAGUGGGGAAUCUUGCGCAAUGGGCGAAAGCCUGACGCAGCGACGCCGCGUGAGGGAUGACGGCCU